rnacentral:misc_RNA from 1 species
ACCUACUGUUUAAUUUUGAGGGUUCGUUUUUACGAAUACUCAAAAUUAGCACUUUAAGCAACGAGAUUUAUCCGUUGGCGCCGUGCUUUAGCACUUUUAGCAACAGAAUAAACUGAACGCAUGUGAAGUUUGUUUGUUGGCGCUGUGCGUUAGCACUUUAAGCAACGGAAUUAUUCGUUGGCGCCGUGCUUUAGCACUUUGAAAACUGCAUAUAUAUUUAGUGAUAUGACAUCUAAUUUGUAAUAUAUAAAGCUGAUAACUUUUUAAAAUUAUCGAAGUUGAUAGCUUCUAAUCUAUCAAACCUUUUUAACUGGUC